ACUCAGGAGCAGGGAGACAGCGGGCGCGCGCGCGGAGGCUGAGGCGGUGUUUGCGGCCCAGCGCCGGGACUGGACCUUGGCGUUCGGCCGCAGUUGCCCGGCGUCUUUGGGGCCCUCGGGUAUCCGCGCGCCGAGGCCAGCUAAGUUUGGCAGACUCUCUGAGCUCUCGGAAUUCGACUGCCUCCAUUGUUGCUCCUUCUGGCACCCACAGACCGUAACGUGGCCGUAAUUGUUUCCUGGAGAGCUUAGCUUCCUUCUGAGCACCUCCCUCCCUUUUUUAAAGUACCUUCCCACUCGCCUGCGUUUCCUCGCGUUGGUGGCGCAGGGGCCUCCGCAUUUGGGGAAAUAACAAACACCCACUUUCCGCCCCCUACCCCAACCGGGAUCCCCAGAUAAUGAGAAAUAGACGGUGGCCCUCUGUAUGUACGCUGUUCAUUUGCAUAGGUCGGAACCGCCCACCACAGCUUCUAGCUAGGAAUUAAAAUAUCAGUGGGAAUUAAAUAAGUGGCCGGCUUAAAGAACAUCGUGUUAAUUUAUCCCCAAAUGUAGACAUCUCUUCAGUGGACUCCCUGAUAGGCCGGUUUGCUCCAGGUGAGGUGUGCUCACAGCAACUGCAACCGUGUGUCUUUCAGCCCAUGGGCGUGAGCAGAACCUACUAUGCGCCCCUGCUGCCUGGGCUGUGCUGUUCAGUUUGGGGCCACCAGCCCCACAUGGCUCCUGAGGACUUAAAGUAUGGCUAGUCGGAAUCGAGAUAUAUGCAUUCUUUACCAAAUAAUGUUCAAAAAAUUGUUACAUGUUGAAGUGAUCAACUUUUUUCAUAUAUUGGGAUAAAAGUUUUGUUUGUUUUUUAGUGUGGGUUCUACAGAAUUUUAAAUGUCAUCUGUGGCCUGCAUUAUAUUGCCAUUGGGCAGGCUGAUCUAGGGCUUGCAUGCCUGUGAUCCUUAGGUGCACCCUGUGAGGUAGGUGCUUUAACUGUGUGCACAUUUUGAGGUAGGUGCUGAAACUGCUUCCUAUUUUUUUUUCUUUCUUUUGAGACGGAGUCUCGCUCUGUCGCCAGGCUGGAGUGCAGUGGCGCGACCUGGGCUUACUGCAAUCUCCGCCUCCCAGGUUCAAGUGAUUCUCCUGCCUCAGCCUCCCGAGUAGCUGGGAUUACAGGGGCGUGCCACCACACCCAGCUAAUUUUUGUAUUUUUAGAAGAGACGGGGUUUCACCAUGUUGGCCAUGAUGGUCUGGAUCUCUUGACCUUGUCAUCCGUCCGCCUUGGCCUCCCAAAGUGCUGGGAUUACGGGCAUGAGCCACCGUACCCAGCCUGCUUCCUGUUUUAACAAAUGAAGAAAUGGAGUAACUUCCAGCAACAAAGGUUGGAGCUGAAGGAGUGCCCAGGCUGGGAAUGGAGGAAGGACGUGCUCGGGAGAAGGUGAAGAUGGGAGAGAAGCAAGAUCUUCUGUGUUUGGACCAGGGACACAUUUCCAUACUCCAUAGCAGCUGUGCAUGGAAUAUGGAUGUGUGGUCUGGAUGUACAGACACCAUUUUGGACCAUAAAGACAAGGACGAUUGUCUAAGGAUGACACAGCCAGAGCACUGAGAGUGGCGAGAAGGACAAGGGAGCUGCUGUGCCAAGCAGGACUGUCUCUCUUAAGAGAAAAAUAAAAUUUAUUGGUGUUUAAACCAUU
rnacentral:antisense_RNA from 1 species